rnacentral:rRNA from 1 species
GAUGAACGCUGGCGGCGUGCUUAACACAUGCAAGUCGAACGAUGAAGCCCAGCUUGCUGGGUGGAUUAGUGGAGAACGGGUGAGUAACACGUGAGUAAACUGCCCUUGACUCUGGGAUAAGCCUGGGAAACUCGGUCUAAUACUGGAUAUGACUUCUCAUCGCAUGGUGGGGGGUGGGAAGAUUUACUGGUCUUGGAUGGACUCGCGGCCGAUCAGCUUGUUGGUGAGGUAAUGGCUCACCAAGGCGACGACGGGUAGCCGGCGUGAGAGGGUGACCGGCCACAAUGGGACUGAGACACGGCCCAGACUACUACGGGAGGCAGCAGUGGGGAAUAUUGCACAAUGGGCGCAAGCCUGAUGCAGCAACGCCGCGUGCGGGAUGACGGCCUUCGGGUUGUAAACCGCUUUCAGUAGGGAAGAAGCGAGAGUGACGGUACCUGCUGAAGAAGCGCCGGCUAACUACGUG